UUCCUCUAGGGCACAUUAGUCCAAGCAGUAAAGAAAGGGGAGUGGAUCCUGUUGGAUGAAAUUAAUUUGGCUGCUCCUGAAACGUUAGAAUGUCUGAGUGGUUUAUUGGAAGGAUCCUCUGGCUCCCUGGUGUUGCUGGAUCGAGGAGACACAGAGCCACUGGUUCGUCAUCCUGACUUUCGCUUAUUUGCUUGCAUGGAUCCAGCUACUGAUGUGGGCAAAAGAAAUCUCCCCCCAGGAAUAAGAAACAGGUUCACAGAAAUUUAUGUAGAAGAAUUAGAAAAUAAAGAAGACUUACAGAUUCUUAUAGUGGAUUAUCUGAAAGGACUGAGUGUGAGCAAGAGUACAGUUCAAGGAAUUAUAAA